AUCGCCUCUCAGCCUAUUGGCUAAGAUCAAGUGUAAUGUUUGAUAUCUGAUAAGUCCUCUCUUUGAGGAUUACACAUUAAAUGGGUUUUUGGAAAUGGGAGAUGGAACAGGGACUUCAUGCAUUGACCUGGUGUGGCAGUAUCUCCAGGACUGCUACAUCUCUC
ensembl:snRNA U2 U2 spliceosomal RNA